rnacentral:rRNA from 1 species
UACGUAGGGUGCGAGCGUUAAUCGGAAUUACUGGGCGUAAAGCGUGCGCAGGCGGUUCGUUAAGUUCGUUGUGAAAGCCCCGGGCUCAACCUGGGAACUGCAAUGGAAACUGGCGGGCUUGAGUGUGGCAGAGGGGGGUGGAAUUCCGCGUGUAGCAGUGAAAUGCGUAGAGAUGCGGAGGAACACCGAUGGCGAAGGCAGCCCCCUGGGCCAACACUGACGCUCAGGUACGAAAGCGUGGGGAGCAAACAGG